rnacentral:tRNA from 1 species
UAAGGUAUAGUUCAGUGGUAGAAUACAUGCUCAGCAUGUGUUUAGCCUGGGUUUGAAUCCCAGCACCCAAA